rnacentral:rRNA from 1 species
UACGAAGGGGGCUAGCGUUGCUCGGAAUGACUGGGCGUAAAGGGCGCGUAGGCGGCUCAGUAACAGUCAGGCGUGAAAUUCCUGGGCUCAACCUGGGACUGCGCUUGAGACGUGUGGGCUUGAGUGGGGAAGAGGGUCGUGGAAUUCCCAGUGAUAGAGGUGAAAUUCGUAGAUAUUGGGAAGAACACCGGUGGCGAAGGCGGCGACCUGGUCCUUGACUGACGCUGAGGCGACGAAAGCGUGGGGAGCAACAGG